rnacentral:piRNA from 1 species
UUCUGCAUACAAUUUCAUUUAACCAGAGCU